AUAUGUCAGGCUACUGGCUUGUAUGCUCCAAGUGACUGUGUAGGCUGAGUUUACACUGUGUCUGUUCUGACAUAACAAAAUUACAUUGAAAAGGCAUUGGAGAGACAAAACCGCUUUUAUACUUCAUCAAGAUGCCACCGUGUUACCUGAUAAUCAUGUAUCUCCUGGAUGAAGACGCCAAAGCUUAAAGAAUCCAGAGUCUCACCCAAGAAUCCUGCACACUGCCUAGACGAGGAGAAGUUCAUGGCUGGGACUAGCGUCAGCCCUCCUCCCUCACUUGGGGACACUUCAGCUUUUGUCCAAGCUCGCAUAACCGAAACCUCAGCUCCCCCAUCUCUCACAGAAAGACAUUUUUGAAGAGCCCUGAGGCAUCUCUUGUCCUCCUACAAAAGUUAUGAAAGAAGUCUCGACGGCCAGAGGCCAUAGGAAGAGCUCGAGUACCACAGCUUCUCCCUGCCUCGUUGUAUUUUCAUGACAUUUAACGUUCAGGCUGGUCCCAGAGGGAAAGGUGCUUAUGAACCGGUUCCUUCCCCUUAACAUGAUUCUCCUACCACAUUGUAGAGACAUCAUAGAGAUGAUUUCACAAUUGCAGAUGGUGUUCUCUACCUGUCCCUCUGAACACACUCAGUUCUAUAGUUGUCAGGGAGGCAGUGACCUGUGAAGAGACAUUCAGAGUUCCUGGCCUCUCCCCGCACCCCAGGUCCCUAGGGAAUGGGACAAUAACUCGAAGUUUCCUUGAGUUUACUUAACCAUCUCAAGGUUGUUGGUAGUAACUUUAAUGGAACAAAACUGAGCAAGACAUAAAUAAUCCCCUUGACCUUGAGAUUCAACCAUAGCCCUAAAACAUUGCAAUGGGAAGCAAAUCCUUACAUGCAUGACACGGUUGACAAAGCAAACCGGGUUUGUUUUCAAAAUCAUUUAUUUUUAAAUUGGCACAAAGUUGUACAUUACCAUCGAAUACGGAGUGAUGUUCUAAAGUGAAGAGGGUCGGAUGUUUUCACUCUUAAUUUAUGUCUUGGUUUUGGAAUUGCUUUUAACGAACACUAGAAAGAGCAUACCCAGAUGUCAGCAUCUUUACUGGUAAUGAAGUGUUGACAAUAAAGUUACUGAUGAUGUAAGGCUGUGGCUCAGCUAUAGAGUGCCUGCCUAGUAUGCACAGAACACCCUGGUUCAAAGCCUAUCACUGCAUCAACCGGGCAUGAUGCUUAGCUGUAAUCCUGUAAUUUGGGAGGUGAAGGAGAGAGAGUGGCAAGUUCAAAGUCAUCCUCAGCUGCCAGUAAGUCUCCAGGUUAACAAUAAAAAAAGGUUACUGAUAAUCAAUUGAGA